rnacentral:lncRNA from 1 species
AUCAUACGUUGUAACUGUCAAGGCGACAGACGUGUGGGAAUUUGAUUGCCAAUUGUGCUCAAGUUUUCAUCUGCUACUCUGAUUGUGAUUUGUAAUUCUACACAUAGUUUGACCCGUCGAUCCUAACAACAACAUAAGUUUCGUAUCAACAACUAAUAACAUUUAUUUGAUAGUUGAUGGGGACCUGUUACACAUAUCUUGGAUUUCAGCUCUCCACAGUUAUCUUAUUCUCUUCCUGCCCAUGCCAAUGGUUUGAUGUCAAAAUUACUAAUGAAACCUGUGAAUCCAUGUAUAUGUGGAUGUCAUGUGCUGGUGUAUAUAAGUGUGCAGAGUCAUGUGCACUGAUGUGUCGACGAUGGGAGAUGUUGUACAGUCUCUCAGCUUUCCCAGUGUUGAGUAGUGUCAGCUCGACUCUGGAGGACUUGGUGAAACAACACCAACAACACAAAUUGUUAACUAAGGCAGCUGAUUCUUCUCCCUUUUGAUUAUGGAUAAUUGGAAAUCUUUACAAGUUGCUGGUUUCCAGAAAAUUUUAAAUAUUAUUAAAAAUACCCGACAAUAGAACUCCAGUGCCCGACAGCAGAACACCACUACCUACCGUAAACUAUUUUGUUCAAAAUCAUUGUGUUCUACUGAAUGUACCAUCGAAAUGAUACAGAUCACCAACCACAACAUGAACCAAUCCAUCAUUCCUAAUUCUUUAGAGAACCUUGGAUAGCUGAUCGGCGGUUUCAUGUGUUCGUCUAAAUUACGGAUUUCUAAAUUGGCAUGGCAGACUUUAUGAGAAGUCAUUUCCUUUCAACAACAAAAAGGACAACAACAAAGUUCCUUGUUUGCUAACUGUCGGCUGCUACCCAUUUACUUCUUUACAAGGGCCCUCGUCUUCAUUUUAGGGUAAUCCUACCAGUAAUCCUUCGAUACUUGUCAUGGACUUUAUCCAGUGGUGAAAAUCAACAAGAGAAUGCUGUAAUUCAAGAGUGAUAAAUUGUGUAGUUAGCUAAAUUACAAGUGCAUAUCUGGGCUUCCUUCUUUUCUAUGGCCCCGUUUCCCUAACUAACCACUAACCAACG